ACUUAUUUGAAUUAAAGAUCAUUUUGAAUCGGCUAUCAAUCUUUCAAACUUUUGAUUUUACUAUUCAACCUUUCAAUUUAUUUGAUUAAAGUCAAUCAACAGCACUUUGGUUUUAGAAUUUUAAGCUACUUUUUUAUUUUAAUAAAUUUAUAGGUGCGAGAAUUACACAAAGUUUAUUAACUAAACCUAUGAAAAUAAACAAUAUAUUCAAAAUUUGAACUCCAAAUGCCGUUAACUGACUAAAAUCAAAUAACUUAAAAUAUUGGAUAGCAAAAUCAAAAUUUUGAAAAGCUCGGAAA
rnacentral:lncRNA from 1 species